GAAUUAGCCGAUAAUAACUCGAUUAGUUUAACAUGGACGUUAAUUAAAAGAAAUCUAUGUAACAACGAUCUAGAUACGAAACUAGUAUCUUUAAAUAGGUCUCAAAAAGUUACACAGAAUGGACUACUCGAACGUGUCAUUCGGACAUCUGAUGAAGAAGAUAUAUGUUAUCUUAGGUGAAGGGUAAAAUGGUUAUUUCACAUUAAAGUGUUAUCAAGGCAACCGACUUUUCUUGUCAGGGAACCUCUGUGAAUAACUCAAAAACAACUUGAUAAGGUCUAGAAUUUCUAUUUUCUCUUUCGUUCUCUUAUUCUUCUUCUCUUUCAUCUUUUCUUCUUAUGCUCGUCUCCUACAGCAAUUCUGCAACGAUUUUGAGAAACAAAACAAUGGUUUUGAGAUCGAGAGAAGAAGAUAUAGAUCGAGUAUUGAUUGUUGGUGAUGGUGUUGUAUUUCUUUGAAAACGGGAUGAAGAAGAUGGAGUUCUUGUUGUAAAUCGAGCAUAGGAUUUCUGAAGUUAGGGUUUGUGAAGAAUAGAGAGGUGAUUUGGGUUGCUGUUAGAUAAAGAACAAUAGGGUUGUAUCUGAAUCGAAGUUAUGAAGUAGUUUUGAAGAUGAAUCAAGAGUUAGGGUUCUCAGAGAUUUGAAUUAGGGUUUCUGGAAGAAUUAAAAAAUUAAUUAGAAGAUGAAAUUAAUAUUUUAAGAAGGGGAUUUGAGAUGGGUAUUGAUCUAUUGGAUGAAUUAAGAUUAGAGUUGAGGAGUAAUUCUAGUUUGAUGAAGUUAUGGUUUUGAAGUUUUUUAUGAAACUAAGGCCUCUCAGUAGAUUGGUUUUAAGUUUGAAUUGGUGAUGAACAAGAAGAAGUAAGGACUGGUUUGAGCAAUUGAGGAAAGGGUUGGAGUUAAUUAGAUAUUUUGGAGUUGUUUUGAGGUUGAUAAAUUGAGUCAGGUGGAGAAGAAACUGAAUUCAAUUGCCUGAGCAUUCCUAAAUUGAGGUAACUGUUCUUCUAUGUGAUUUUAGAUAAGUUAUUCAUUUCAAUUGUUGAAAUUAUGAAAUGGUUGAUGAGUAUGAAUUGAAUUGAAAUUGAUAAGGGUAUGAAUUUAGAAGUGAACUGGUGUUGUUGUGAGUUAAAGGAAAGAACAAUAAUGAUGCUGAAAUUAUUGUUAGUGGAAUGGGGAGACAAUGGUCUAGUGUUGCAGGUGAUAUGAACGAUUGAGUUGUUAAAUAGUAAUGAUGUUGAAGUUGAACUGAUGUUGUUGGUUGUAUAGAUUAAGUUUGAAGUGAUUAAGCUAAGAUGCCUGAACUAGUGUAAGAUGAUUGAAAUGGAAUUGAAGUUGCAACUGUAUCGGGUGGUUAACUGAGGAAGCUGAAGUGAUGUGUGGAAGUUGAGGUUAUGUUGAUGAUGCAGUUCUUAAGAGUGGAUAUAAUGGUUGAGAUGCAGCUGCAACUAGAUUGCAGAUUUGGAGUUGCUGGUGCUAUGUGGGUUGUUGGUUUAAGGAUUAUAGCUGGAGUUUUAAUUACAGAAAUGAAGUGAGAAUGGUAAGGUGUAGGGGUCAUUGUGUAUAUGAUGUUACAAACUAUUGAUGGUUGAAGUUGUAUAUGAGUAAAUCAGUUUGGUGGUUAUGGUUGUGGCUGAAAUGCAGAUGAGUUUAGAGUUGAAGCAUUAGUAUGGUGGUUGUAUAAUCAUGUGAAAGAAAGUCUGAAGAUUGAGUUAGAUGUUGCUUAAAGCAGCAUUUUGCAGUUAAUCUUUAUUAACAACGACCGAUUCAAAGGAUGAACCAGUGGAUCGUGGAUCUCGAGGUAGGCGUGCCUUGUCAUCAAAUGAGGGAUGAUGUGCUCACCCAUUCCCAAUUUCAGUUUCAGAGACAGAUCAAAGUUACGGAACGGAAGCUUUGUAGCGUUGAGUCUUCUGCUAUGUAUAUUAUGUUGUAUAUUCUAUUUGCAAACCAAAUGACUAUUGUAUAUGCAUCAUUUGAGAGGAGUUCUUAUUUAUAUAUUUCUGAGCGGGGCUAGUUUUUGGGUU